rnacentral:rRNA from 1 species
CCUACGGGGGGCAGCAGUGAGGAAUAUUGGUCAAUGGGCGCGAGCCUGAACCAGCCACGUAGCGUGAAGGAUGACUGCCCUACGGGUUGUAAACUUCUUUUAUAAAGGAAUACAGUGAGGCACGUGUGCCUUUUUGUCUGUACUUUAUGAAUAAGGAUCGGCUAACUCCGUGCCAGCAGCCGCGGUAAUACGGAGGAUCCGAGCGUUAUCCGGAUUUAUUGGGUUUAAAGGGAGCGUAGAUGGGUUGUUAAGUCAGUUGUGAAAGUUGGCGGCUCAACCGUAAAAUUGCAAUUGAUACUGGCAGCCUUGAGUACAGGUGAGGUAGGCGGAAUUCGUGGUGUAGCGGUGAAAUGCUUAGAUAUCACGAAGAACUCCGAUGGCGAAGGCAGCUUACUAAACUGCCACUGACAUUGAUGCUCGAAAGUGUGGGUAUCAAACAGGAUUAGAUACCCUGGUAGUC